GACGAACGCUGGCGGCGUGCCUAAUACAUGCAAGUCGAACGCAGUGGGGACGGGUGAGUAACACGUGGGUAACCUCCCAUCAGAGGGGAUAACACUUGGAAACAGGUGCUAAACCGAUACUGAUGGAUGGACCCGCGGUGCAUUAGCUAUGUGGGGAGGUAACGGCGCACCAAGGCCACGGUGCAUAGCCGACCUGAUAGGGUGAUCGGCAAAACUGGGACGGAGACACGGCCCAGACUCCUACGGUAGGCAGCAGUAGUGAAUCUGCGGAAAUGGACGAAAGUCUGACCGAGAAACGCCGCGUGAGUGAAGAAGGUUUUCGGAUCGUAAAACUCUUUUGUUAUAGAAGCGGUAUCUAACCAGAAAGCCACGGCUAACUACGUGCCAGCAGCCACGGUAAUUC
rnacentral:rRNA from 1 species